rnacentral:rRNA from 1 species
AUUGAACGCUGGCGGCAGGCCUAACACAUGCAAGUCGAACGGUAGCACAGAGAGCUUGCUCUCGGGUGACGAGUGGCGGACGGGUGAGUAAUGUCUGGGAAACUGCCCGAUGGAGGGGGAUAACUACUGGAAACGGUAGCUAAUACCGCAUAACGUCGCAAGACCAAAGUGGGGACCUUCGGGCCUCACACCAUCGGAUGUGCCCAGAUGGGAUUAGCUAGUAGGUGGGGUAAUGGCUCACCUAGGCGACGAUCCCUCGCUGGUCUGAGAGGAUGACCAGCCACACUGGAACUGAGACACGGUCCAGACUCCUACGGGAGGCAGCAGUGGGGAAUAUUGCACAAUGGGCGCAAGCCUGAUGCAGCCAUGCCGCGUGUAUGAGGAAGGCCUUCGGGUUGUAAAGUACUUUCAGCGGGGAGGAAGGGUUGCUGGUUAAUAACCAGCGACAUUGACGUUACUCGCAGAAUAAGCACCGGCUAACUCUGUGCCAGCCGCCGCAGUAA